UUUGUACUCCCUCCGUCCAGAAAUACUUGUCUCGGAAAUGGAUGUAUCUAGAUGUAUUUUUGUUGUAGAUACAUCCAUUUUUAUCCAUUUCUCUUACAAGUAUUUCCGGACGGAGGGAGUACUAA
rfam:Triticum aestivum genome assembly, contig: Triticum_aestivum_CS42_TGACv1_scaffold_513279_6BS